rnacentral:lncRNA from 1 species
CAUAUCAGUCGAAUAGAUACUUUAAUUUCUAGAUUCAAGAUGAAUAUUUGAUCUUCCAUACGGAUACAAUACAUGGAUCUAACAUUGAGAAGUGGCUUGGAACCAUUAAAUCUGAAAUAAAGUCCAUAAAGAUCAAUAAUGUAUAGACGUUUGUUGAUUCACCUGAAGGGGUAAGAUCCAUAAGGUGUGAGUGGAUUUUAGAUGGAUAAGAGGUGC